rnacentral:rRNA from 1 species
GACGAACGCUGGCGGCGUGCUUAACACAUGCAAGUCGAACGGUAAGGCCCUUUCGGGGGUACACGAGUGGCGAACGGGUGAGUAACACGUGGGUGAUCUGCCCUGCACUUUGGGAUAAGCCUGGGAAACUGGGUCUAAUACCGGAUAGGACUACGCGAUGCAUGUCGUGUGGUUGAAAGCUUUUGCGGUGUGGGAUGGGCCCGCGGCCUAUCAGCUUGUUGGUGGGGUGAUGGCCUACCAAGGCGACGACGGGUAGCCGGCCUGAGAGGGUGUCCGGCCACACUGGGACUGAGAUACGGCCCAGACUCCUACGGGAGGCAGCAGUGGGGAAUAUUGCACAAUGGGCGCAAGCCUGAUGCAGCGACGCCGCGUGGGGGAUGACGGCCUUCGGGUUGUAAACCCCUUUCAGCACAGACGAAGCGUAAGUGACGGUAUGUGCAGAAGAAGCACCGGCCAACUACGUG